AAACGUUUAACUUCGACUCUCUUAGAAGCUUUAGGCAUAAUAGCGUUUAGUCGUGCGUCUAGGUGGUUUAACCUAUAUGUUUUAAUGUUACCUAAGAUCCUAAGUGUUUUCCUAAGCUUUUCUAAGUUAUGGAUUCUAGUUCUAAAAGUUUUUGUAUAGGUUUUCUAUGUUUGGGGUUUCAUGUUCUAGGUCUUGUGUUUUCUACCUAUGUUGCUUUUCCUAUUAGAGUCUUGAGUUAUCUUCUUGUCCUCUUUUCUCCUGAGUUUCUUAGCCUAGUUUGAUGUUUACGUGAAUUUCUAUCUUUGACUUUCUCAUAAGCGGUCAUCCACAUCUUUUUUCCUUUGGACUUUUUCCCUUUGCAUUUUAAAAAUUUAUCUCUUGUUUAUUUUGUCAGGUUGUGAUUUUGACCUUUCUAGUUUACGGUUUUCUAGCCUAGUGUUUU
rnacentral:lncRNA from 1 species